CUGUUUCAUUGUGAACUGGCUGAGCUUUCCAAGAUGUGGUUGAACUGAAGUGAAGAUAGAGAAUUUUCUUCUAUUUUUCCUCAUUUAAAUGAGCACAAUUUUAUUAGGUUACCAUUAUGAAUGAUGAUUGCUGUUGAUGUCUGAGAUCUGAUUUGUGAUGACCAUUAAAACCUUUUAAGUUUUUAUUUCAGCCAAGAAAUUUUGCUUGUUAAUGUUUCCUUGACUGUUGUUCCUUAUACUUUAAGUGAACUGACCUUCAAUCUUUC
rnacentral:lncRNA from 1 species